ensembl:ribozyme RNaseP_nuc Nuclear RNase P
UUUGCUCAUCAGCUGGGCCAUGUACUGAGAGCUUGUUGCCACACUCUCCCUCAGCCACUGGCCCCUGGGAAGGUCUGAAACUGGGGCCUUCUGGGUUCCAAGAGAGCAGGGCUCCAAGCUUGGGCAGAUUGGGCAGGAGAGACUCCGAAUGGGCAGAUGCCUCCCUCACCAGUGCUUGGAAAAGACUCAAGAGCACAUCAGUAUCUCCAACUACAGGCAAG